UGUUUGUGGUUCAAACUCAAUCUGCAACAACACUAUUGGCAGUUACAAUUGCUCAUGCAUGAGUGGAUAUAAUGUAACUGAUCCAAACCUCCCUAUAAACAGCAAUAACACAUGCACAGAUAUAAAUGAAUGUCUGCUCAGUCCAUCAAUCUGUGGUCCAAAUUCCAACUGCACAAAUGAAAUAGGAAGUUACAAUUGCUCAUGUUUGGGUGGAUUCACUACAACAAACUCAAAUCUCACCAUAACUAUCAACAACACUUGCAGAGAUGUAGAGGAAUGUGUAGAGAUAUCAGGCAUCUGUGGUCCAAACUCAAUCUGCAACAACACUAUUGGGAGUUACAAUUGCUCAUGCAUGAGUGGAUAUAAUGUAACUGAUCCAAACCUCCCUAUAA